rfam:Schistosoma rodhaini strain Burundi genome assembly, scaffold: SROB_scaffold0001125
AUCUAGCUGACGAGUCCCAAAUGGGACGAAACGCAUUUGUCCUGGAU